GCAGCUUGUUCUGACUACUCUUCCACAAGACCCUAUGAUCCCAUCACGACCGCAUUCUGGUAACGGACUAAGUGUUCCCACCCCACCCCAAGCUGAUAUAGCUAGCCCUGUAUUCGAGAUUUAAUGGAGAGGGAUAAAAGAAAGGAUAAAGGAAGAUGAAGGCUUAUUUAAGGAACAGAACUGGACAGAGUUGGAUGUCGCUAAGAUGGUCUUGGAGUCUAUUGGAAGUACAGAAAAAGCAAGGAGGUAUGCCCCCGGUCCUCAAAGUUGGCCACCUUCUUGUCACUUUGGGCGCCGGGUUGCAGGUGUGUGCAACAGCUUCCACUUUCCGGUCAACCGGAACCUUUCCCAGAGCGGCUGCUGCUGUGUGGGUCGUGCCUCGGCGGAGUUCCUGGGGGUGGUGCUCGACCAGAGUGG
rnacentral:lncRNA from 1 species